rnacentral:lncRNA from 1 species
GAGAACAGUCUUUGGCUGAGGGGAGGCAGGCUGGGGUGGGUCAGCUGCACUGGACUCUUCCCUCAAGUCCUUGCUCCCUGGUCAUGGGUGGGAGGCCAGUGUCCAGCUUUCUAGGUCAAUAGUCAGUCAUGUGGUCUCGCAGAGCCAGGCUGUGCCUAGGCCCUGAGACUGUGGUCCUGAUAUCCCAUCCCUCUCUCUUCCCCUUCAUUCCUAGUUUGUGAUGAUAAACUGAUGUGACUCCAUUUUUGAGAAACCAGCCUCUACCUCAGAGCAAAGCCUGUCCAAGGAAGGGGGCAUGACACUUGUCCUUGGAAAAACCCACAGAGCACUCCUAAGCACAUACCCACCCUGCUGAGUUGUUUGUCUGCAAAUAUCAGGAGGGAUCUGUGGUGCCAGGUGUUCCUGACUCAGUUAGGCUAGGUGAGGACAGGAAAAAUACCUGGAAUGCCAGAUGACCCCCAGUAGUUUAUGGUGGUUGAUAACAGGUUGGGAAACCAUGUAGUUUAGCAUGUACACCCCUCAUGGCUUAAACCAAUCAGUUCAAAGGAAUCCCCCUCUUGUACUAAGUAGUCACCCCUAUCCAACUUGUUCCCAUCAGUGAAUGUGCUAAUCAAUGUUAAGAGUUGUUGUUUGAUUUUUCCCGCGGUAUGGAAAGAUUUGCUGUGUGAUGUUGUGAUGCAUAGAGUAUCCUCAAAAAAAAACCUAUAAAGUCUCACUGAACAAAGGACCAGGACUCACUCCCUGGGACUGCUGCAUCGGCAAUGGUUGUG